GGCGGCGUGCUUAACACAUGCAAGUCGAACGCGAAAGGGACGUUCGGUCCUGAGUAAAGUGGCGCGACGGGUGGAGUAACGCGUAGAUAACCUGUCUUCAUGUCUGGAAUAAUACGCCGAAGGGUACUAAUACCGAUAUUCUUGCUUUUCAUAAGUUAUGCAAGCAAAGGUGGCCUCUGCAUAUGCUACUGCAUGAAGAGGGGUCUGCGUACCAUUAGCUAGUAGGUGGGAUAAUGGCCUACCUAGGCGACGAUGGUUAGCGGGUCUGAGAGGAUGAUCCGCCACACUGGCACUGGAACACGGGCCAGACUCCUACGGGAGGCAGCAGUGAGGAAUAUUGCGCAAUGGGGGAAACCCUGACGCAGCGACGCCGCGUGAAGUGAGGAAGGCCUUCGGGUCGUAAAGCUCUGUCAAGAGGAAAGAAGUGUACAAUGGCUAAUACCUGUUGUAUUUGACGGUACCUCUAAGGGAAGCACCGGCUAACUCCGUGCCAGCCGCCGC
rnacentral:rRNA from 1 species